UUUUAUUUUAUUUUAAUUUUUAUUUAUUUAUGAUAGUCUCACAGAGAGAGAGAGAGAGGCAGAGACACAGGCAGAGGGAGAAGCAGGCUCCAUGCAGGGAGCCCGAUGUGGGAUUCGAUCCCGGGUCUCCAGGAUCACGCCCUGGGCCAAAGGCAGGCGCCAAACCGCUGCGCCACCCAGGGAUCCCCUAGAGCUCCAUUUUAAAUAUGGUUUUCUUUACUAAUUUUCACACCACUUUGGAGGGAGAGUUAAGGAAGCAAUGUAAGAUGCUUGGAAUAAAAAUGCAAGUAAAAUUGAAAUGUUGUUUAUUCAUUGUUCUAACAAAUAUGCAUUGAGUACAUAUUGGUUUCUGAGAAACUGCUAUUUAAAUUUAAAUUAUUUAAUAUUUAAAAUAUUUAAAAUAUUUAAAUAUUUAAAAUAUUUAAAUAUUUAAUAUUUAAAAUAUUUAAAUAUUUAAAAUAUUUGAUAUUUAAUAUAUUUAAAUAUUUAAUAUUUAAAAUAUUUAAAAUAUUUGAUAUUUAAUAUAUUUAAAUAUUUAAUAUUUAAAAUAUUUAAAACAAAAAGAGUGAAAAGCUUCUAACCACUCUACCUGAUGCAGAAAAACAAUGUUUGCAGUUGGUAUGCUUUUUCUUUUUGUAAAAAAUAUUUUAUUUAUUCAUGAGAGACAGAGAGGCAGAGACAUAGGCAGAGGGAGAAGCAGGUUCCUCAAGGGGAGCCCAAUAUGGGACUGAUCCCGGAAUCCCAGGACCACACCCUGAGUCAAAGGCCAACACUCAACCACUGAGCCACUCAGGUAUCCCUAGAAUUGCUUCUUCACAUGGAUGGGUUGCUCUGUGUGUGUGCCUCUGUGUUCAAAUACCCUCCUCUGUUUCCAAAACCCAGUUCUGGCUACCUAGAACUCCCAGAAGUCAAUACUAACGAGGCAGGUGUUGAUUGGAACAGAACAUGAUCUUUAUCAGGAGACUGGCCACCUAGGGAGAAGGUGGAUUCUAGUAAAAAUGCCAAUUCUGAGGUUUCUGUCUUGCCUACAGAUUGUUAAUGUUAGGACAGUGAACCAGUAAAGGGACUACAUUGGUCUGUGACAUUUCUUGACUAUAUGCACACUUGGUGCUGCUAGCUAUAGAUGUUAUCACAGUGCUGGUAGGUGGUACAAGGGGGUCUGGUUCCUUAGUGCCUAGGGGUUGUGCAAGAGGGUCUGUUUCGCUUUGUGGCAUGCAGAAGUGCUCACUCUUUCUAGGAGAGAAUGCAUGAUCUAUAGAUGAUCAGAGAAAUGUUAAUCAAUCAUGUGGGCUAAGUGUUCUUGUUAAACCUUAGGAUUACUAGGUUGGUUGAGGGCCCAAAGUGGCUUCACACAUACUGUUUCUCUUAGUACCAAAAGAGGACCUUGGCUGCCCCCAUUUGACCUCAAACUUUCUAGCUAGGUUCUUCUUUCCAGCUUGUCUCGACUCAGAUGGAAGACCCUGAUGGCAAAGCAUCCUCUGAUGGGAACCCAAACUACACCUUAAGCACUAAGGAUUACCCUGAACAUGCAAGACCCCACCCAUGAUUGACUCCAGGACAAUGACCUAUUUGACUUUUACUGCCUACCAGCAAGUCCCUACUCACCUUUGCCCCACAUUUUCCUUCUACAAACCCGGAAGCGUUUUGAGCACUUUGGAGACAAUUUUUGAGAGGUUAUUCCACUGUCUUCCCUGCGUUGUCCUCGCUGAGGUCCUUUCUUCUUUAACCACCACACAUUUCUCUGCCUUUGGAUUUUGUAAUUGGGGAGUGGCCAAAUCUAGACUGUUUAGGAACCCCAGGUUAGGUGCUCUCACACCCCUGUGCUGGGACAGUACAACAAGGUCAUAAUUUCUUGAUCAUCUUGGGCCUGAGGCUUUUUUCCAUUAAAAUAAUCAUGGACAACAUAAUCCACUGAGUUUAGUCCAGAUGUCUACACUCCAUCACCGCCAAGAGGAGCCAGAGCAGUCAUGAUGAUGCCUGUGGGAGGAAUGGAGGACACAUCUGUGGACUGUGCUGUGUCCCUGGGGAGCAAGAAUGGCCAAAGCUGUGGGCAGGCACCACCUUAAGGACUGAUGGGAAUAUCGGCUCCAGCAAAGUACGGGUACUCAACCCAGAGGGUCCUUCCAACAACUGCCAGGUGUCUCCUCUCUUCCUGUGCCACCCCUGCCGUCCUACCAGGCACCAGGCCCUUCUGCAGGCCCCUUCCUGGCUGAUUUUGCGAGAUGGCACCAUGAUCCUGCAUGUCCAGGAGGGAAAAAAAGGACUCCACAGCUUCCCACAUGCCUGAACUAGGGACCCUCUUCGUUCUGGUAGAGGCCCUACACCACCUGGACUCCCAUCCUUCCGGUGGAGAGGGAGGCUGGCACUGACCGGAUGUUUCGGGUGAAAUACCACUCAGGGGAAUCCCUGUCUUUUCUGAUAGAGUCCCCGCUGCCCCAGGCUCCAAGUACUUCCAGGUCAAGGGGAGGCCGGAUAUGACUCCAGCGCCCGUCCCCUCCUGGUCCCAUCCAACUUCCCCUGAGCUAGCUGUCUGGAAACAAAGCCCAGAUCGGAGACACGGAAUGACGAUCCUUUGGGUGAUCAGCAGUUAAUUGUUACAGAAAGAGAAGGAAUUAAAUCACUUGGAGGCUGGCACUCCACGGUGAGACGUUCUUCCCAUAUACCGCGUAGGAUGGGAGGAAGCAACUCUGCCGGGUGUGCGUGCCAACCUUGUCUUUACCAAUGUGAGACCAGCCUGACUUACACUCACCCCUCAGGGUGUUCAGGGAGUCUCUCCCCUCCGGCCGGUCAGGAUAAAUGUCUCCUGCCUGUGAGACUCCUGCACACCUCCAGCCAGUUCUCAGCCCCCAAAUCUGCUGUCUGCCUGGGCUUGUAAAAUCUCCUGCAGAUGCCAAAGUUUAGUUUUCCACCAAAC
rnacentral:lncRNA from 1 species